UACAGAGGUCCCAAGCGUUGUUCGGAUUCACUGGGCGUAAAGGGUGCGUUGGCGGUCGGGUAAGUCUGAUGUGAAAUCUCACAGCUUAACUGUGAAACUGCAUUGGAUACUAUCCGGCUAGAGGAAUGGAGGGGAGACUGGAAUACUUGGUGUAGCAGUGAAAUGCGUAGAUAUCAAGUGGAACACCAGUGGCGAAGGCGAGUCUCUGGACAUUUCCUGACGCUGAGGCACGAAAGCCAGGGGAGCAAACAGG
rnacentral:rRNA from 1 species